GCACACACACAUGGGCACACAGCCCCAGGAGCAGGAUGGGCACACAGCCCCGGGUAGGAUGGACACACAGCCCCAGGAGCAGGAUGGGCACACAGCCCCGGGAGCAGGAUGGGCACACAGCCCCAGGAGCAGGAUGGGCACACACACACCCCCAGGAGCAGGAUGGGCACACAGCCCCAGGAGCAGGACGGGCACACACACACACACACAGAGUGGCAGGACAGGCACACACAGCCCCGGGUAGGAUGGGCACAGACACCCCCAGGAGCAGGAUGGGUGCACAGCCCUGGGUAGGAUGGGCACAGACACCCCCAGGAGCAGGAUGGGUGCACAGCCCUGGGUAGGAUGGGCACAGACACCCCCAGGAGCAGGAUGGGUGCACAGCCCUGGGUAGGAUGGGCACAGACACUCCCAGGAGCAGGAUGGGUGCACAGCCCUGGGUAGGAUGGGCACACACACACCCCCAGGAGCAGGACGGGCACACACAGCCCCAGGAGCAGGACAGCCCUCCGUGUGUCCCCAGACUGGCAGUGUAGCUUCUUUUGGGAGGCUCAGCACGCCGGGAUCGAUUGGAAAUAUUAAGUACAUUCAGUGCUCAGCUCCCUGGUUUCACUUGAUGAUGCUUUUCAUGAAUUCAGGCUAAUUACUUAAUGACAAUGAACAAACAGCAUUUCAACACCUUUUCAUGUGUAAAUACCUUUAAUGCAAGGUUCUCUUGAUUAAAAGCAAAUAUCAACAGUGAGGUUAAGGAGAAAAGGGAAGGAAGAAAGGAAGGAAGGAAGAAGCCUCUCUUUGUCCCCCUGCUGCCCCCCCAGCUGAGGCUUCCUCUCGCUGGGAAGCUAUUUUCAUGCACUAACUCCACUAGUUUCUCUGGAGACAGAAUUAGCCCCUGUAAUAUAAGCUCUCACUUGUCCUCCUCUUCCAAAAUUCAAGAUAAAAAAAGACCUCUUCUGAUAAGUUAGGAUAAUAUGAUUAGUUUAUAGAAUAGUUCACUGAAAAAUGUUUUGUUUCUUACUUGAUAUGGGACAGAAUCUAAACUAGUAUGACUUAAAAAAACCCCAUAUAUAAAUACAUAUAUACACACACACCUCAUUCUAAGGGGUAAUUUGGUUUCUUUAGCCAGAAGUACCAUAUUGCUAUUUAUACUCUAUUAUGAAAUUAUAUGUAAAUAUUUGCAGAUCUAUGCAGUGAUGGUGGUACUCAGAUGCCACAAGGGUGGGGGGGUGGGGGGGUCUGCAAAGGAUUACAUUAUUUUUAAGUCAACUGCUCAAAUAUUGCAAACAUUCUAACCAAAGCUAAAAGAUGCAGAGGGAUGGAGAAUUAUUUUAUAUAUAUAUACAUGUAUGUAUAACUAAAAAAUGUGUUGUGUCCAAUGCUGCAGUGUUAAACAAUUACCAGCACACCCUGAUGAAGAAACGAAAUUCCUCACAGUGUUGCCAUACCUUGACCAAAUCCAUAAUUACAGUAUGCUAAUUGUGAUGUACUAAACUAUCCUACAAACUUUUUAAACAGAAGAAACACUGCAUAAAAAUCUGUUUGCUAUUUCACUCUGCUUUUCUCUCUAUAUUACCACUUAGUGAGGUAUUUAGGGUGCAAUUAUACAACAGUUUGAUGUUUUCUUGUGAGAUGAAUUCGUCCAAGGCAAUUAUAGCAAGAUAAGUAACUUCUGUUAAAAUUUUACAUAAAGGUUUUUCAAUGGCUGGUUUUGAAGAUAUUAAUUUGCAUCAUUUUACUUUUACAUACAGUGCCCUUAUUAUAAAACCAAUAUUUUGUUUAUUUCCCUUGACUCUGUACUUUAAUGGAAGAGAUCCAGUGAAGCCUAAUGGAUUUCCAUGGAGAUACCUUUGAACUCUUGUUACUGUUAAUUCUAGGAUGAGUCCAUUUACACCUGUUCUGGGAAAUUAAUUACUGCUUUUAACUGACUACAAAAAAUCCUGUGGGGUAGGUGGACAAAGAGCAGAUGUUCUGUAUGAUUAUAUCUCAUGUGAAGCAGAAGGCCAGAGCUAAGCUGAGAAAUACAAACCCAUAUUGGUGCCCAGGGGUAUUUAGCUGACUGUAGGAAGACUUGCUUUGCUCCUUCCCAUAACUAAGUGCUCACAGCUCUUCUGAGGCCCAGGAUGCUGCUCUAGGGGCAGGUGAGGGAGCAGUGAAUGGGCACUGAGUGGGCAUUGAGUGGGCAGUGAGUGAGCAUCGCUCUCCCUGCCUGUGCACCUCCCUCACCCCACGCUGCUCAGAGCUGGCACAGGUCAGCUCUGGGAGCCUGGGGAGGAGGCACUUAGGGAUGACUUCUACCUACAGCUGCAGGGCACCAGCACAGACAAAGUUAUCACUGAGCUCGUUAAUUAUCCUGGCAGCCAAAUAAUCUGGCUACGCUGCCAUCCCCCAUCAGAUGUCACCACUGAACUCUGAGGGCCUCGGCUGCAGUUGCAGGAAGCAAUCCCACCCCCUCCCUGCAGGCCCUGCAGAAACCCUUGCUCUAAGGCAGCUCAAGGGGCACCACUUCAGUCUUCCAACAGGAACAAGAAGUGGCUGCUUGAUGAAGAGCUGAGGUUCCUCCAGAGGAGGUGCUCUGCCAACACCCCAGCUCCGUCCCACUCCAUCUUUAUGAGCUUGUAAUUACACCCAAGAAGAGCAAAGACAGAUGCUCCAGCAGUGCUGGAUUUAACCCUCGUCUCCAUCCCUGCCACUCACGGCAAUUUUCCAAGCAUUAAAGCACUGUUCCAGUGCCUCUCCAAGCAAACCCACCUAGGCACCCAACUUCUCCCUCCCACCAGCACUCCCAGUUUCCACUGGUCCUGCAGUGCUUGGCUUGCAGACAGCAAAGCAGGAGGCCAGCAGGCACAGCCCAGCACCGUUCCCAUUCCCGCUCUGUACUCCACACUCAUCCACAGCCCAUCUCCCAAAUGCCGUGGUUUACGUCUGCUAUUUCCAAGCCCAUUUGUUGCCAGGUUCCGGGAAUAAGCAAAGCAAUUCUGCAAACAUUACAUUUAGGGUAACAGGUAUCAUAAAACUCACAGAAUGUCAAACACUAGCAGUGAAGUCAACUUGAAUUCCCUGCGGAGGGACAGCAAGCACCAGGCAGAGCCAUCGUUCUACACAAGGACACAGCCAGAGGCUGUUAAUAUUUUUUAUUUUAAAGUUACUGUCUUCCAUUUGCAAUUGCUUGUGACUCUUCCAGGCAAGGAGGGGAUUGGAAUAAUUGUGCUACUCUGCAGUCUCUGAUUUAUUUUGUUGAUGGAACAAGAACCACGAUGAUUUGGUUUAAAUUAAUCGUAUUUCAGUAGAAGCACUGGGUGAUGACAGGAGCUUGUUAACUUGCCCUCCCCAAAUACCAUCUCUGCUGCACAGCCUCGGUUUGUACAGAUCCUACACUGCUUACAGGUGCUUCAACACCCCGAGGCACAGCCUCAGAGGUCUUUGGGUCUUUUAGAAACAGAAUUUCUUGUACUGCUCUUGAGGUGCUUGUCCCAUCCAAAGAUCUCCUCCAGCCUCGCUGAUCUCCAGGCAGCUUCUCCUACUCCCCUCCCUCACGUCAGUGAAAUGGAAACCCAGCAGCACAAGUUCAGGUUUUGAGUCAUCCUCCUGAACAGGCUGAAUUAAUGCUCCCAGUUAGUCGCUCUGCAUUAGAUCAGUGUUUAAAUGCACACAAGUAAAAAUUACCCGAUGAAGGGUAAAAUGGGUGAGUGUUCAGUCUCCAGCUGAAGUGUUCUCUGCACUGAGCUCCCGUUCCCUAUCAGAUGGAAACAGAACAAAUGCUGCUCCAGCAGUGUUUGGUUUUGUUUGCUUCUCCCCCAAGCAGAAAUGAUGCGAUUUUUCAGUGAUCAGCCACAUGCAAAUCUGAGCCUCUGAGCUUCUGUCCCAUUACCCCCUUAGAAGACAGGGGCCUAUUGCUACCUUGUAAAACCAGAAACAUCCUGUGGCUUUAAACCAGAAAUCUGCACUACACACUUAUUUUUAAUGUGUCUAAGAUAAUUUCUGUACUACUUUAAUGGAAAUAAAGUUGAUUUAAUUUUGUGAUCUGUGUAGCUAUCAAAAUCCAUCUGUUCAGACCUAUGAAACUUACCCAGGAGCUGAAUUUCAUCUUUCUUAUGAAGUUUUCCAUAAAAAAUUAAACAAGUUCAGAAGGGGAUACAGUAUUUCUCCUCCCCCCGAAAAAGGAACAAGCAAGGAAACAACAGAAACCAAAGGCAGCAGCUCCUCCCUCCCCACACCUUCCUCCACUGCAAAUGUCCCAGAUGCUAAAAUUGGUGCUGGGCUUUGCUUUUUAAGGCACCACGUUAGCAGGAUGCUUAGAGAUAAUUUCAGAAUCAGCUGGAAAUUCAGCAUUUCACAUCUUGUGUAAAAUUAUUUUGAGAGGCAUCUAGGGAAAGGUACCAAAAGCUUUGAGGGGUAUAAUCAGGCCCCAGAUGGGGUGAAACACCAAUGUACACCACUGUGUAAGCACUGAGAAGCUACACCUGCCAUCCCCCAACCACUCCUUUGUAAAAAGCCAAACAAAACCCACCCCGUUUUUCUUUUUACUAAUGAAAACACUAGUAAGUGAACUAUUCUACCAGCUUAGCAACCCAAGAUUACAGAGAGUCCUCGAUGCGUUGUGUUUAAAUUAUGUUUCAAGAGCCAACUUCUGGUGGGAGGGGGUGUGAGUAAUGGAGUAAAACAAGUGCAGUGUACAGAAGCAUUUUGUUAUUAAAAUUGUGUAUACUGUAAAACUGAA